rnacentral:SRP_RNA from 1 species
GCCGGGCACAGUGUCAUGUGCCUAUAGUCCCAGCUACUCGGGAGGCUGAAGCGGGAGGAUCGCUUAAGCCCAGGAGUUCUGGGCUGUAGUGCACUGUGUUGAUAGGGUGUCUGCACUAAGUUUGGCAUCAGUAUGGUGACCUCCCGGGAGUGGGGGACCACCAGGUUGCCUAAGGAGGGGUGAACUGGCCCAGGUCGGAAAUGGAGCAGGUUAAAACUCCCGUGCUGAUCAGUAGUGGGAUUGCGCCUGUCAAUAGCCACUGCACUCCAGCCUGGGCAACAUAGCGAGACCCUGUCUCA